rnacentral:rRNA from 1 species
CCUACGGGAGGCUGCAGUAGGGAAUCUUCGGCAAUGGGGGGAACCCUGACCGAGCAACGCCGCGUGAGUGAAGAAGGUUUUCGGAUCGUAAAGCUCUGUUGUUAAGGAAGAACGAGUGUGAGAAUGGAAAGUUCAUACUGUGACGGUACUUAACCAGAAAGGGACGGCUAACUACGUGCCAGCAGCCGCGGUAAUACGUAGGUCCCGAGCGUUGUCCGGAUUUAUUGGGCGUAAAGCGAGCGCAGGCGGUUAGAUAAGUCUGAAGUUAAAGGCAGUGGCUCAACCAUUGUAGGCUUUGGAAACUGUUUAACUUGAGUGCAGAAGGGGAGAGUGGAAUUCCAUGUGUAGCGGUGAAAUGCGUAGAUAUAUGGAGGAACACCGGUGGCGAAAGCGGCUCUCUGGUCUGUAACUGACGCUGAGGCUCGAAAGCGUGGGGAGCGAACAGGAUUAGAUACCCUUGUAGUC